CAAGGAAUCUUCCGCAAUGGGCGAAAGCCUGACGGAGCAACGCCGCGUGUGGGAUGACGCCUUUCGGGGUGUAAACCACUUUUCUCAGGGAAGAAGCACUGACGGUACCUGAGGAAGAAGGACCGGCUAACUACGUGCCAGCAGCCGCGGUAAUACGUAGGGUCCGAGCGUUGUCCGGAGUUACUGGGCGUAAAGCGCGCGCAGGCGGCGGUGUAAGCAUGGCGUGAAAGCCCCAGGCUCAACCUGGGAGGGUCGUCGUGGACUGCACCGCUUGAGGGCGGUAGGGGCUGGUGGAAUGCCUGGUGUAGUGGUGAAAUGCGUAGAGAUCAGGCGGAACACCCGUGGCGAAGGCGGCCAGCUGGGCCGUCCCUGACGCUGAGGCGCGAAGGCGUGGGGAGCGAACGGGAUUAGAUACCCCGGUAGUCCACGCAGUAAACGAUGCAGACUAGGCGUGGGGGGAGUUGACCCCCUCCGUGCCGGAGCCAACGCGGGAAGUCUGCCGCCUGGGGA
rnacentral:rRNA from 1 species